rnacentral:misc_RNA from 1 species
AAGACUAUAGACCUGCGGAGUACCUGCGGAAGGAUCAUUAACGAUUUCGGUGUAAAAAACCGUUUUCUACCUAUGUCUACGCGUACCACUUGUUUCCUCGGGGGGCUUGCCCCCCGCUAGGACCCUUUAUCAAACCUUUUUGUAAUAGCAGUCAGCGUCUGAUACUACGUUAAUUAUUAAAACUUUCAACAACGGAUCUCU